GGGUCUGCGUUCCAUUAGCUUGUUGGCGGGGUAAUGGCCCACCAAGGCUACGAUGGGUAGCUGGUCUGAGAGGAUGAUCAGCCACACUGGAACUGAAACACGGUCCAGACUCCUACGGGAGGUCUCCUCCGGAUGAUACUAUCUGGCAUUUCUGCUCCGUAACACCCUUGGACAUUCCGCNNCCCUCGUCGCAGGAUAUCAAGGUUUGCAGUUUCAAAGGCUCGU
rnacentral:rRNA from 1 species